AGAAGUGUUACGCCGGGCGAUGGUAGCCCCGGUUGUAAAGGACACAAUUGAGUGGAAGGUAACAUGGAUGGAGACAAGAAAAGCUGUGUGUAUCUGGAAGGAGCCCGUACCGCAAACCGACACAGGUAGAUAGGAAGAAGAUUCUAAGGCCAGCGGGAGAAGGGUCGUUAAGGAACUCGGCAAGUUGACCCCGUAACUUCGGGGGAAGGGGUGCUUACGAAGGUAAGCCGCAGAGAAUAGGCCCAAGCGACUGUUUAGCAAAAACACAGCUCUAUGCUAAAUCGAAAGAUGACGUAUAUGGGGUGACACCUGCCCGGUGCUGGAAGGUUAAGAGGAGAUGUGAGAGCAUUGAAUUGAAGCCCCAGUAAACGGCGGCCGUAACAAUAACGGUCCUAAGGUAGCGAAAUUCCUUGUCAGGUAAGUUCUGACCCGCACGAAUGGUGUAACGAUUUGGGCACUGUCUCAACAACCUACCCGGCGAAAUUGUAGUACCGGUGAAGAUGCCGGUUACCCGCGACUAGACGGAAAGACCCCAUGGAGCUUCACUGUAGCUUAAUAUUGAAUUUUGGUAUUUCAUGUACAGGAUAGGUGGGAGACUGGGAAAUACAGGCGUCAGCUUGUAUGGAGUCACUGUUGGGAUACCACUCUUGAGGUGCUGAAAUUCUAACCUGCGUCUUUGAAUCAAGACGGGGGACAUUGUUAGGUGGGCAGUUUGACUGGGGCGGUCGCCUCCAAAAGAGUAACGGAGGCGCUCAAAGGUUCGCUCAGCAUGGACGGAAACCAUGCCAAAGAGUGCAAACGCAAAAGCGAGCCUAACUGCGAGACUGACGGGUCGAGCAGUAACGAAAGUUGGAGUUAGUGAUCCGGCGGUAUGUGAGUGGAAAUGCCGUCGCUCAACGGAUAAAAGCUACCCUGGGGAUAACAGGCUGAUCUCCCCCAAGAGUCCACAUCGACGGGGAGGUUUGGCACCUCGAUGUCGGCUCAUCGCAUCCUGGGGCUGAAUUCGGUCCCAAGGGUUUGGCUGUUCGCCAAUUAAAGCGGUACGCGAGCUGGGUUCAGAACGUCGUGAGACAGUUCGGUCCCUAUCUGUCGUGGGCGUAGGAUAUUUGAAAGGAGCUGUCCCUAGUACGAGAGGACCGGGAUGGACGCACCUCUGGUGAACCAGUUGUCACGCCAGUGGCACGGCUGGGCAGCUAGGUGCGGAACGGAUAAACGCUGAAAGCAUCUAAGCGUGAAGCCGACCUUAAGAUAAGAUAUCCGUUCUUCGGAAUAAGACCCCUUGUAGACUACGAGGUUGAUAGGCUUAAAGUGUAAGCAUGGUGACAUGUUUAGCUUGCAAGUACUAAUCGGUCGAUUGCUUUUCCG
rnacentral:rRNA from 1 species